CCCCUGGUGAGGUGUUCGUCGCGCCCUUUACCUUAGAUGAAUAACAGAACAGAUGAUGACCAUUGUAAGUAGUUGUCUCCAUUUAGCUUAUGUCCGGUGAUAAACAACGUAGAUGAUUCUCCUAGGCCAUGAAUGACAGGUGUUGGAAGGUAGGAACCCGUGGUGACUUCAGGUGGAGAGGGUGGAAGCUCAUCCGUCGCCAUUUGUAUAUGUGGCGUAAUCGGGAAGGCUUUCUUGGAUCAGUUAUGGAUCUGAUACCAUGAAGCUUUUCAUGAUGAGGUGAAAAAGAAUUCUUCCUCUAAU
rnacentral:lncRNA from 1 species